AUGUGAUGACAUCAUAGGUUGCUAGGCAACCUAGAGCAGGCUGCCUAAAAGCUAACACAUGCACCCGGAAGGAACUCAGGACAUCCCGAAAGAAAGACUGAAGCCAGCGGAGAAUCUCAGGAAGGAGCGGGGAGAGAUGCAAACAGUCAGGUGACAGAGCAGAAUUAGCAGCUUCUUUGUAAACAGAUGACUUCACUUGCUACCUGGAACAGAAUGACCCGGAGAAAGAGCCUUAACAAUGGGUGGUUGCCCUUAUCAACCUGCUGACACAUACUUCCAUAGAACCUUGCUUGCUUGCCGGGCCCCACCUUAUGGUUUUAGAGUACAAAAUGAGGAUGCAGAUUGAAGCGGAUACUGAGGUCUUUCAGGAGCUGUCCUGGGCUCGGUCCACUGGUGGACUCUCUUCUGCUCUCACUGGCAUUGGAAAGCAGAUUCCUGAGAGAUCCCCACAACAGGCUGAGCUAUCAAAUAGCUACAGUAUUAGCAGGAAGAGGCUCUCCAGGCAAUGAUGGUGCACACAGUUACAGCGCUGAGUCAGCCUGAUAAGGUGACCACCGUGCUCUGGGAGGCGGCCAGCCCAGCCUAGGCCACUCCCAUCCAUAAUACGGGACAGUGAAUGCCACCACUGCUACCCUGCAAAUGCCAUGCCUCCACCACUGUCUUCUGUGAGAAGUCCCUUGUGACCGCCGCGUCCACCUUGUAGGAGAGAUGGGAUUGACUAGAUGCUUGGAUGUGAUCUGGAAAGCAUUCUUGGAAUGCAGACACAAGAACCCAUCACAGACAAACCAGAAAGAGAGUCUAAUCUCCCGGAUGGAUUCCAGUGCUAUAAUCCCCGUUUUUCAAACCUGAGCUUUACUGAAAUGGCAUAACCUGCUUAAGAUCACAGGGAUGGCAGAUAGCUACGUCAGUCUGUGUGUCUCUACGCCAAAGUCUCUCCAGCUGCGCUCUGGCCCUUCCCGCUAGACAGCUCAGCAGCUUACCUGGAAUAGAAGCUUCCCAGUCAGGUUAAGUUGAGCUGAUGAUGUCACAUGCAAUUCAUCUUUGUCGUCAUGGUUACGAUACUUAAAGACAGAGGGUAAAGCAUCACUCAGUGGUCAAUCUAGCCACAGUGGGUCACCCAGAAACACCUGUUGUGGUUUGUACACAAUACAAUACAAUACAAUACAAUACAAAAAUCCCUCCAAAGGCUUGUACAUUGAAGGCUUGGCCUCAGAUGCAAGCUGUGUUCAGAGGGGAGAAUCUGAGGAAAGUGAUUGGCUCAGGAGGGCUCCGCCUUUAUCAAUGGAUUAGUUCACUGAAGGAUUUAGAGUCCGAGCAAACUACUACAAAGUGGAAAGUAGGUAGGUCACGAAGAGUAUUUGUCUCUGAAGAGUAUUUCACCCUUAGCCCUGUCUGUUUAUCUGCCUGUCUCUCUCUCUGUCUCUGCUUCCUAACCACCAUGAGGGGAGUAGCCCUGUUCCACCAUACUCUUCAGCAUAAUGCCUCACCUCAUCACAGCCCUGCAAUGCUGCCGUGAGCUGACCAUAGACCAAAUCCUCUGAAAGCCUGAGCCCAGACAAACCUUCCGUCUCUUAAGUUGCAUGCACCAGGCAUUUUGUUACAGUAAUGAGAAAUGAACACUGCACCCGUCCAUGCUGAUAGAGCUGAAAAGGUAUUUCUACUUUUCAGAUGAGUUUAAAUUAGGUGGAAAUGAGAAUGGAAAAGCAACUGUCACCAGACACAGAGAUGGAGCUCAGAACCUCAGGGCUCAGUCUCCACCUGUUCCCCAGCAACAAAGGAAGGCUGCCAGGCCUCUGAGGUGGUAGCUCAGCAGGAGACAGCCCAUGCUUUCUCCACCCUUAAAACAGUAUAGGCCAUUCCUGGGUGUGCUGCUAUGGGGGGGGCUGGGCAGCCGGGAGGUUGAACCUCUAGAUGGUUUCCAAACCAGGUCCUUCCCUCUUGGCUGCCAGGAUCCUUUGGUGAAGAAGGAAGUAUGUAGGUAAAGGGCCCAGGAGUCUGCCAGAGGUGGGUGACAGGAUUAACAGAGUAAGUCUCAUCCAUAGGGAACAGGGACCCAAAGCAACUGGAUCCUGGCGGGACCACUUGGUAGCGGUAUCCUUAAGCAGAAACUUUCCUGCACAUUUGUUAAGUCCUGAGCUUUCAUCAAUUUCUGAAAAUUAUUCUGAUUAUUCCAAACUCAUAAGUAUAAUCUCUUCCAUCUCACUGGCAAGAAGUGUGUGUUCUCCCAUCCUUAGUCAUGCGAUUCUGAUUAAAAACACAUGUCUUGGCCUCCAGCCCCAGCCAAACUGUUCAUUGCAACGAUCAUAACAAUUUGCCUCAACUAAGCAAUAGAAGGACCUGAGCUUCCUCCUGCGGCCAGAAACCUUCCCAAAGCUAAAGCCUCCUCAACAGACAAGCUAUUUACCACAGUGCUUAUGCCAUCACCAACAAGCUUCCUGGUCAGUUGGAGUUGCCUUCUUUGCCUAAGGAGACAGAGGACAAAACAUGACAAAGGAGGUUUCUGGGAGCAGGCACCUUUUCACUAAAUAGUGGAUUUUCUGUCCUGGCAACUUAAGAAUGAUCAAGAUAGCUGGUGAGCGGUGAGAAUUCAAUAAGGGUGUAGAAGGCUCACCUGAGCCCACAGCUGGACCCAGCGAGACAGGCUGUGAGACAAAGCUAAUGCUUGCAGCUGGAUCCCCAGGCCAGCAGCUGACUGGUAGCCUCUGGCUACCUCCUUGACGGGAGUCUGUAGGCUCUUCAGAACAUUUGAUGGGGCAGGCAAGCUUGGGACAUGCCGACUUCGAGGACCUGAAUACCUGUGGCCCACUGGGCUCUGAGGGGACCUCCGUGGCUACACUUCCGGCCAUGUCCAGAUGCAUGGCAAGAUGCCUUUGCGGAGUCACCAGAGGAAUCCAACGCAAGUGCAAACGCACCACAAAGGGCCACGCCGUCCUGCUGUCUCCGUCCUGCUGUCUGGCUCUUGCAGUAGGUGCAGGGCAUCACAGCUCACAGGCAGCCCUGGUCCUGACCGCAGCCAAAGCACGUGCAAGUGGAGGGGUCAGGGAGGGGGCUCAGUAUAGACGGCCGAGCCCCACGGCUGCACGGCCUGGGCCCUGCUGCCACUCCUGUGGCUAUGGCGUAUGCCCGCCACAGGCGAUCUGACUGGAGAGAUGGAGAGGGCCAACCCUGCACACAGUGCCAACAUAGCCUUUAAAAUCUUUGCUUCCCCACAUCUGGACACCACGACUGUGGGAACCAUAUGUCUUGGGAAGAGUGAAUCUGCUGAAUCCAAGGACAAAGUGUUUCGGUUAUUAUUGUUUUUUCAUUAUUUAUUUACAGCCUGAUCGCAGCCCCCUCCCUCCUCUCCUCCCAGUCCCACCCUCACACCCUCUCCCUCCAUCCCUCCUCCUCCACAUGGGUACCAACCCACCCUGGCACAUCAUGUUAAAGUUGCUGCAGGACUAAGCGCAUCCUCGCCCACUGAGGCCGGACAAGGCAGCCCAGCUAUGGGAAAGGGAUGCAAAGGCAGGCAACAGAGUCAGAGACAGCCCCCACUCCAGUUGUUAGGGGACCCACACGAAGAACAAGCUUACAUCUGCCCUAGAUCCAGCCCAUCCAUGCUCUUUGGCUUGACCCCUCUGGCUCCCUCUUCCCUCUUAUGGAAGAAUCCUUCCCCUGACUCUUCCAUAAGACUCCCUGGGCCCCACCUAUUGUUUGGCUGUGGGUCUCUGCAUCUGUUUCCAUCAGCUGCUGUGUGAAGCCUCUCAGAAGACAGUUAUGCUGGGAUCCUGUCUGCAAGCAGAACAGAGCAUCAUUAAUAGUGUCGGAGACUGGCUCUCUCCCACGGGGUGGGUCUCAGGUUGGGCCAGUCAUUGCUUUGCCAUUCCCUCAACCUCUGCUCUAUGUUCAUCCCUGUACCUCUUGUAGGCAGGCUAAGUUUUGGGUUGAAGUUUUUGUGGGUGAGUUGGUGCCUGCCCCCUUCCUCCGCUGAUGAAUGUGGACACAAAAACCCCCCACAAAAUAUUUACAGACAAAACUUAAGAAAAUAUCAGAAAGAACGUUCACCACAAUCAAACAGCUGUAUUCCAGGGCUGCAAGGAUGGUUCAACACAAAGUAAUCAAUAAACAUCAUAUACCACAUACAUGUGCUUAAGGAUAUAAAUUACAUGGUCAUCUCCAUAGAUGCAAGAAAAAUCCCAGCAGUUUUUGAGGAUAAAAAUCCUGAAGAAACUUGGAACAGAAGAAACAACACUUACCAGAAAAACAAAAAGUCAGUAUACUUUUACACACACCUAUAGCUGGCAUUGUAUUAAAUGGAGGAAAAUUCAGUGUUUCUCCUAACCCUGGGAAGCAGACAAGGGCGUCAUCAAAGUCGCGUCUAGAGCAAUAAGGCAAGAGAAACAGAUAAAGGGUACAAGCAGGAAAGGAAGACAUCAACAUGUUCUUAUUUGCAAACCAUCUGAUCCCAUACAUGAAAGACCCUAAAGUUGCCCUAAGAACACUCUGUUGGUGUUAGUGUCUAUAAAUAAUCACUUUAUAAGCAACUAUUUAAAAGUCAUUUUAGCACAUUUAAUUUUGUGUGUAUCUUAGUAGAAAUGGGCAGAGCUGUGUGUCCAAACUUUACGCAUUAUGCAAAGGUUUUACAGGGUUAAAGGCGUGUGAGUUUACAUGUCACGUGGCCAUCGCAUGCUCUCUUCCAUACAGAAUGUCAAAAUGAUCAUUAAAAUUAUUUUCACAUUUCUUCCACUUUCAACUCAUCGCAUUUCUAUGGGAGACCCACCGUUUGGACGGUCCUGCCCUACAAAGCCCUGCCUACCUCUGCCUGCCUUGAAGAAAUGAGCAUUUUCGUACUGUGAACACGAGGCGUACUUCUGCAUCAGGAAAUGGGUGUGUAUGUGGCCUGCUGUGCUCAGACUGUAAAACGCCCAUGUGCAGCAGCCCUACUGACAUAGUUACGCCUCCGAAGUGGGUGAGUCAGUAAAUGUGAGACCUCUGUGUCCUGAUGCAGGCUGUCACUGGCUCCUUAUGCGCCAAACGCAGCUACGGUCCUGCUGUAACACACGAGCCUUCCGAGAUGCAGAGAGUGCUUUAGCCGGCUGCAGCAGACUGGGCCUGUGAACUGUACUCUCUGAGGCAGUAUAGGAAAACAGGGAUAUGACAGGGAUGUGGAGAGUGAGACGGAACCCCACCCUGAGGCCCAUUUGAGGCUUCUCACCGGCUGAACACCAAAAGCUUCCACUGCAGUUAACACUUGCCGUGAACGUUGCCAACAUGGGAAUGUUUGUUUGUUUUUUAUAUAAUACUUUUAUCAAUUCUUUGAGGACUUCAUACAGUGUGUUUUCAUCUUAUUUACCCUCCACUCUGCCCUAUAACUCUCCCAGCGUGACCUCCCCUUUUCAUGCCCCCUCUUACCCCCCCCAUUUCCCUCUCUCUCUAUUAUUUUUUAAAAGGACCAGUUGAGUCCAAUUUGUGCUGCAUGUUUGUAUACUCCUGGGUAUGGACUGGGAUUAACUACUCGGAUCCACACCUUCAAAUAAAACUGACUCUCUUUCCUCCAGAAGCUGUCGACUCCUUUGUUAGUGGUCGAGGCUCAUAAGCCGCUCCUCAUUCAUGCUUGAGUGUUGGGUGGCUUGGUAUUGCGCAGGCCUUGUGAGGAAAGCAAAGCUGUUAAUCCACGGGUGCAGAAGCCCUGUUGGGCCUAGG